AAGUCGUAACAAGGUUUCCGUAGGUGAACCUGCGGAAGGAUCAUUACCGUAAAUCCAUACGUUGGCAGUAUCGGUUUAUAUAUACGUCGGUGGCUGUCUGUGGAAAUUUGUGCGUGAACGACAGACUCAGCCAUCGGCUACAGUAUUCUCUUUUUUUAAAACGUGUUCACGCUCGACUCUGUGCCGGAGUCUAACAAUUUCGGAUCGGGGUUGCUACGAGUCGAUGUUCGACGUCGAUGGCCUUAUUGGCCGUCGUCGUCGUUGCCGACUCGGGAGCGAACUUCGCGCGAGCAUUAAAGAGCCACGGCUCUCGAACGGCUUUGCCGUCGGGGCCGCCCCGAUCAAAACACAAACGCAAAAUUUUUGUAUUUAAACCUUAACGAAAAUAUAAGACAAAUAAUGAAAUUAUAACUACGAGCGGUGGAUCACUCGGCUCGCGG
rnacentral:misc_RNA from 1 species